rnacentral:rRNA from 1 species
UACGAAGGGGGCUAGCGUUGCUCGGAAUCACUGGGCGUAAAGCGCACGUAGGCGGAUUGCUAAGUCAGGGGUGAAAUCCUGGAGCUCAACUCCAGAACUGCCUUUGAUACUGGCGAUCUCGAGUCCGGGAGAGGUGAGUGGAACUGCGAGUGUAGAGGUGAAAUUCGUAGAUAUAUUGAAGAACACCAAUAACGGCGAAGGCAGUUAACUAUCCUGUUACUGACGUUGAGGCACGAAAGCGUGGGGAGCAAAAAGG